UUCAAUUUUCAACCACAGAGCCAGCCUAUUCCUCAAAGAAAAAAUUAGGGUUUGCUCAGGGUUUGCUUUUCUUCCUAGGCGAGAUUACUCCCUUCCUAUUCAUGAUCAGAGUCUUGUCUCCAAUCCUCACUCUAGUCCUACAGGUGUAACCCCUACUCAGGGUUUCCAUACCCACAUAAAUUCCCUUCCUAUUUCUCCAUCUUUUGCACAUUUCCUUCCCCUAUGUAACUUGCAUUUCAUUUUCCCAAAAUAAAUUUCCAUACAUUUUUGUCACCUCCAGCUGAUAUGCUGGCAAAGCUCCACUAUAUUUAUCAUUUUUCUCAAGUCAAAAGAACCCAAAAUCUCCGACCUUUAAAUUUUGCCGGUUUUCACUCUCAGUAUAUCUUUGAUUUCCAGUUGAUGGAACACUUUUGGUGGCUAAAGAAGCAAAACCCACAUGCAUAUAUAGAGAGGUAAAUUCGUUUACAAACAGAACAUAGUAUGUCUAUGGAGUGUAUCGCCUUGUGUUUUUGCCCUAAGGAUCAAAACUUGGUUGUCUUUCUGAUGACGGUGAUUUCUUGAUUUUCUGAUUGUACAUGUGUUGUUGUAUCAGAAAAGAAAAAAAAAAUCGAAGUUAAUGGAAGGAUGGUCAAAAUUAAAUGGUGGGGCUAAUUUAUAUGAGGUUGGAACUGUUCAGACCUUUUCAAAUAAGAAAAAUUUAUGUUUCGAUUUGGAUUCGUCGAUAAAACAUGGUAAUGUUGAUGAUUGUAAUGAGAGACUUAAGGGUUUGUUUGAUCAACUUCUUUUGGUUUUCUUGGGGGAGGUAUCUAGAGAGAAACAAAUUCCCCCUAUUCCGGCAUUGUUCGGAGAUGGGCAGCCAGCGGAUUUGUUUAAGCUUUUCUGGGUAACUUGGAAGUUAGGUGGGUACGAUUUUGUUUCGCGGAAUGGUUUGUGGGCUUUUGUGGCUGAAGGAUGCGGGUUGGUUGGUGGGGUGAUGGCAUCUCUAAAGCUAGUUUAUAUGAAGUAUUUAAAUGAGUUGGAGCAGUGGUUACGAAAAGCUAUUAGAGGUAAGAGUUUGGGAAAUGGAGAGAGUGAAGGUAGUGGGAAAUUCGGUUUGUUGUUGUUGGAGUUAGAGAAGGAGUUUAGAGGUUUAUUGAGUAAUGAGCAGGAUGUGAAGAAAGAAGGGAAACUUGUCGAAUUGCAAAGGAAAAAAAAUGGGAAAUGUAUUGACGUGGAUAUUGAUGGGAGAGAACUGCUUUUGCCUGUUGUUAGAGGCAUAAACGAAGUGCAUGGUAAUGCGGAAAAAAUUAUGAAUGAUGAUGAUGAUGAAAAAAUUUGUUUCCAUGUUGAGAACGAAGUUUCUGUUUUAGAAACGCCUGUUGUUAGAAAUGGGUAUGGUUUACAGAAGAGAAAACGAGAAUCUGUAUCUUUGUUGGGAAUGCUCAAUUGGGUUAUUGAAGUUGCAAAGCAUCCUGAGGAUCCUGCAAUCGGGAGAAUACCUGACUGCUCUGAGUGGAAGGAAUAUAGCAGCAAGGAAAUGUGGGUCCAGGCUUUGUUGGCACGGGAAGUGCUUUUGAGAAGACGGCAUAUUGGUUUAAACACUGAAGAAUCUGUCUUGCAGAAGAAGUUGAAAAUGCAUCCAUCCUUUUACGAGGAUAGCAACGUUAUCAAUCAUCGAUCUGCAGAGGGAUUAAGAUGCAGUGAAAGGCUUCCUUCUUUCACAAAACCCCGCUUCUGCCCCUGUUGCAACUCCUGCUCAGCCUCUCCAAGGAAAGUGGUAACUUCUCCCACUAAAGUGGUAACUGGUUGUAAAGUGGAAGAUGAGAACAAGCCAAAGGAACAACCUCAUCUGAGUGUGGAUAUACGACGCAUAAAUCAAACUGAUGGCAUUUACAAUGAUGAGCCUUUCCAGAAGCUUGUUUCUGUGGGCCCUCUCUUUCAAGCUGAAGUCCCUGAAUGGACUGGCAUAGUUGCCGAAAGUGAUUCAAAGUGGCUUGGCACAAGGUUCUGGCCCUCGCAAAAUAGGAAACGCGAAUCCCUUAUGGAAACAGAUCCUUUUGGGAAAGGGAAACAAGAUUCAUGUAGCUGUCAAAUUCCGGGUUCUGUUAGGUGCAUCCGAUUUCACAUUGCUGAGAAUAGGAUGAAACUAAAACUCGAACUUGGGUCGUUGUUUUAUCAAUGGGGGUUUGAUCGGAUGGGUGAGGAAGUUUCGCUUUCGUGGACCAUUGCAGAAGAAAAGAGAUUUAAAGAUAUGGUAAGGUUGAAACCCCCGUCCCUAAACAAGUUCUUUUGGGACAUUGAGGUAUACAAGUACCUUCCCACUAAAACAAGGGAGAAGUUAGUGAGAUAUUACUUAAACGUAUUCCUUGUCCGACGCAGAGCGUAUCAAAACCGGGUGACUCCAAAAGACAUAGACAGUGAUGAUGACGAAACAGAAUUUGGAUGUGUAGGUGGUAGUUAUGGGUAUGAGUCACUAAAUGGGCCAGGCUCCAAAUUACUCAUAUGCACUGAGAAUAAGCAGUGCACUGAUUUUUAGUGCAAGCUUGGGUGCUGGGCUCUGAGAGAGCCAGGGCUCUGAGAGAGCCAGGGAGAGCGGUUGCUACAUUGUGGUCUCAUGUGGCAUGAGUUGAAAUUUUGGAUGAGCGCAAUGUAAAGUUUCUGUAGUUAUAGUCGCAUCGGUUUCGGCAGCUGUUGUACAGAUCAUCUAGGUGGUGGCUUGUGAAUAUUGUGGCGCGAUGCCAAAUACUUGGAUUGUUCAACGCUGCAAGUUUUGAUGACACAUACAUGUUUUUACUUGUAAUGAUUACUGUGAGAAACACGCGAAACCAGAAGAUGCCGGAGCUGCACCAGAAGAGACAUCGAGCUAUGAGGGGCUGGCCGAGGAUGAAUAUGACUAGCAAUGAUGCAGCUGCUGGUGAAGCCGAUACUUGGGCCAAAAACUUGAUGCAUUUUGAGUUGUUUUGUUUCUGCACACAUGAUAAUGUAGGGUCUUGAAUCUUGAUAAUAAAACCUAAUUUGCAUGAGGCCUCAAUUUCUGUAGAAAUCCUUGAGUCUUUCAUUAAUAUCGUUUGAUUUUAUAUCGAUAUGCAUGAUUACAAU